ACGAACGCUGGCGGCGUGCUUAACACAUGCACGUCGAACGGAAAGGCCCUGCUUGCAGGGUACUCGAGUGGCGAACGGGUGAGUAACACGUGGGUAAUCUGCCCUGCACUUCGGGAUAAGCCUGGGAAACUGGGUCUAAUACCGGAUAGGAGCCAUUUUUAGUGUGAUGGUUGGAAAGUUUUUUCGGUGUAGGAUGAGCUCGCGGCCUAUCAGCUUGUUGGUGGGGUAAUGGCCUACCAAGGCGGCGACGGGUAGCCGGCCUGAGAGGGUGGACGGCCACAUUGGGACUGAGAUACGGCCCAGACUCCUACGGGAGGCAGCAGUGGGGAAUAUUGCACAAUGGGCGCAAGCCUGAUGCAGCGACGCCGCGUGGGGGAUGACGGCCUUCGGGUUGUAAACUCCGUUCGCUAGGGACGAAGCUUUUUGUGACGGUACCUAGAUAAGAAGCACCGGCUAACUACGUG
rnacentral:rRNA from 1 species